rnacentral:rRNA from 1 species
ACGUACUUGUACUGAUUGAGAUUUUAACACGAAGUGAGUGGCGAACGGGUGAGUAACACGUGGGUAACCUGCCCAGAAGUAGGGGAUAACACCUGGAAACAGAUGCUAAUACCGUAUAACAGAGAAAACCGCAUGGUUUUCUUUUAAAAGAUGGCUCUGCUAUCACUUCUGGAUGGACCCGCGGCGUAUUAGCUAGUUGGUGAGGUAAAGGCUCACCAAGGCAGUGAUACGUAGCCGACCUGAGAGGGUAAUCGGCCACAUUGGGACUGAGACACGGCCCAGACUCCUACGGGAGGCAGCAGUAGGGAAUCUUCCACAAUGGACGCAAGUCUGAUGGAGCAACGCCGCGUGAGUGAAGAAGGGUUUCGGCUCGUAAAGCUCUGUUGUUAAAGAAGAACGUGGGUAA